AGUGAACGCUGGCGGUAGGCCUAACACAUGCAAGUCGAACGGCAGCACAGUAAGAGCUUGCUCUUACGGGUGGCGAGUGGCGGACGGGUGAGGAAUACAUCGGAAUCUACUUUUUCGUGGGGGAUAACGUAGGGAAACUUACGCUAAUACCGCAUACGACCUACGGGUGAAAGCAGGGGAUCUUCGGACCUUGCGCGAUUGAAUGAGCCGAUGUCGGAUUAGCUAGUUGGCGGGGUAAAGGCCCACCAAGGCGACGAUCCGUAGCUGGUCUGAGAGGAUGAUCAGCCACACUGGAACUGAGACACGGUCCAGACUCCUACGGGAGGCAGCAGUGGGGAAUAUUGGACAAUGGGCGCAAGCCUGAUCCAGCCAUACCGCGUGGGUGAAGAAGGCCUUCGGGUUGUAAGGCCCUUUCGUUGGGAAAGAAAAGCAGCAGGUUAAUACCCCGCUGUUCUGACGGUACCCAAAGAAUAAGCACCGGCUAACUUCGUG
rnacentral:rRNA from 1 species